rnacentral:rRNA from 1 species
GACAGAGGCCCCAAGCGUUAGGCGGAAUCACUGGGCUUAAAGCGUGUGUAGGCGGAUCGUUAAGUGUCUUGUGAAAUCCCACGGCUCACCCGUGGAACUGCUGGGCAUACUGGCGAUCUUGGGCCAACUAGGGGCGGCCGGAACAAGCGGUGGAGCGGUGAAAUGCGUAGAUAUCGCUUGGAACGCCGAAGGUGAAAACAGGCUGCUGGGGUUGUGCCGACGCUGAGACACGAAAGCCAGGGGAGCAAACGGG